UACGGAGGGUGCAAGCGUUAUCCGGAAUCAUUGGGUUUAAAGGGUCCGCAGGCGGUCAAUUAAGUCAGAGGUGAAAUCCCACAGCUCAACUGUGGAACUGCCUUUGAUACUGUAGGGCUUGAAUGUUUGUGAAGUAACUAGAAUAUGUAGUGUAGCGGUGAAAUGCAUAGAUAUGACACAGAACGCCGAUUGCGAAGGCAGCUUACUAAGCCAUUAUUGACGCUGAGGCACGAAAGCGUGGGGAGCGAACAGG
rnacentral:rRNA from 1 species